AUUCCAGCUCCAAUAGCGUGUAUUAAAGUUGUUGCAGUUAAAACGCUCGUAGUCGAAUUUCGGACGCGAAACAAAGGUAGAUCAUAUGAUCUUACUUUUGAUUCAAGUCCUUAUUUCUGGGAGAGCAUGCUUUGCAUGUUAAUCCAGGACAUUUACCUUGAGGAAAUUAGAGUGUUCAAAGCAGGCAUUUGCUUGAAUAUGACAGCAUAGAAUAAUAGAAUAGGACUUUGGUUUUAUUUUGUUGGUUUUGGAGACCAAGGUAAUGAUGAAUAGGGGCAGUCGUGGGCAUUAGUAUUUUGAAGUCAGAGGUGAAAUUCUUGGAUUUUCAAAAGACUAACUAAAGCGAAAGCAUUUGCCAAGGAUGUUUUCAUCG
rnacentral:rRNA from 1 species